UUGCCGUCAACCGGACCGAACGGAAGUCUAGCCAGCUAGUGUGCUUUAAAAAUACAUACAAAAUAUAAAAUCCCAAAAGUGCCUAAAAUCUCAAUUCGUGCAGCUGUGGUAAUUCCUAGACUAAGAAGUGCUAAAGAGAAGAGGAGAGAACAUGGCGGGCGCCACCUCACUGGCGUCAGCCACAAAAAGAUAUGCUGAUAACUUUGACAUCUUUGGCCUGGAAGGAGAAGCCCCUGAGCUCAAGAAAACAGCCAUAUCAUCAAAAAUGAAUAAUAAAGGAAAUAAAACGGCAAAGUGUAACAAUGAGACAAAACCUCCCAAAAUAAAUUCCAAAGAGAAUACUAAUAGAGAAAUAUAAAAAAAAAAGACAUAUCUUCUACAGAAAUUAGUGACAGCUCAAUGAGUGACACAUCGAUAAGCAGCGCUCAUUCGAUCAAAAAAACAUGCAAGUAUACUAAUGUCAAUAUGGGCUCAGCGGAAAAUUAUCUGAAGAAGCUACCAAACUCAGCAAUCAAAUACCUGAAAACCCAAAUAACAAACAGCAACAAAGAAAAUGAAAAUAAGAAUAAGGAAUUGAUUUCAAACACAGACGACUCAGGUACCACCAUAAAUGACCCUAAGACUGAAAAACCUAUUUUCCUGUAUGAUGCCGAAUCUAGGAGCUGCUUGUGUACUAGUAGACACAAGUCAAAAUAAAGCCAUCCAAAAUAAAAACAUAAAGAAUGGUCUAUUCCUCUUCGAAAAAAUUCGUCACCUUAAACUCAAAGGCCUGAAGAACAUAACGGCGCUUGGAGCAACCCUUUACAAAUUAUAUUUUGAUAAUGCCACCAACGCAAAUCAGAUAAUUAAAAAUGAAAGUCUCUGCCAAUUAAAGUACAAAGCUUUCAUCCCGAGGAACUACACUGAGACAUAUGGGGUAAUCCGUGGGGUACCAACAAUUUGGGCAGAGGAGGAUAUCUACAAUAAUAUCCAAUCUAAAAUCAAAAUUAAAACGGUUGAAAGAAUAAUGAGGAGAAAGAAAAAUGAAGUGGAUGAACUAUUAAAAGAGAUCAUACUAGAAUCAACUGAAACAGUCAAAAUAGGGUUUAUAAACAAUGAAAUACCCAAAUCUGUGUGUCAACAAGCCACGCCUACACUUCAUUCUGCCCUCAUACACCAAUGACACAAGCGAUUGGACCUAUAAUUACCCAAAGAAGGAUGAAACUACAGCAAUAUACACACACCAGCUUACUGAACCAACACAAACAACUGACUACACACAGGACUGCCUCGUGCUGUCCUAGCCACAACGUAUCUGGUUAUCUGCCGCAUUACUUUGCGACGACCAACCCCAUAGACAGUUCUCGCAACUGUCUUCACCAAAUCAAAAAAAAAAUAAAUAAACAACAAAGAUCGGGCCCCGGUUCCGGACCCGCCCAACCAUGAGACGAUCACCUACACUCGUCUCCCUCAUCUUGUCCAUUAGAUGGCCAUCAGCGUGUGCCGGCUGUUAUGCCAACUCUCCCCAACGAAGAAAAUUUAACCGGGCAUUUCUCUCAUCAGAUACGCUAUUUCGAAUCUCAUACAAGUGGAUAUUUGGUUACCUUCACAGGUGCGUAUAAUGGUUUGUGCAUUCUUAUAAUUAUUGGCCUUAAUAUUUCUUUUAUUCCUGAUUUGCAUGAGGUCUCCGUCCAGAUGGAUUAACAUUUAUGCACGUGAACGUUUCUUACUUACUUAUGGACAAAGUGUAUUAAUGCCUACAUUUUUCUCUUAUCUUCUAAAAUUCCCUUUUUUACUUUAACAGCACUAAGUGGAACAGGCGACGAAAUUCUACAAGGAUACUGCUAGACGCCGCAAAAAAAAAAACUCGCAUGGAAGCAAUUGUAGCGCCAAUUUAGGAACAAUUUGCCCACACAACUACGUAAAACUGGGUAUGUCACGAUAAUCGGUCGUGCAACAGAGCUCUCUGGGGGAGGUAAGGAGCGAUGUAAAUGGAUAAUUCCAAUUAGACGCAGAUGCAUCACCUUUGGAAAUU